rnacentral:rRNA from 1 species
GAUGAACGCUGGCGGCGUGCCUAAUACAUGCAAGUCGAGCGAACAGACGAGGAGCUUGCUCCUCUGACGUUAGCGGCGGACGGGUGAGUAACACGUGGAUAACCUACCUAUAAGACUGGGAUAACUUCGGGAAACCGGAGCUAAUACCGGAUAAUAUAUUGAACCGCAUGGUUCAAUAGUGAAAGACGGUUUUGCUGUCACUUAUAGAUGGAUCCGCGCCGCAUUAGCUAGUUGGUAAGUUAACGGCUUACCAAGGCGACGAUGCGUAGCCGACCUGAGAGGGUGGACGGACACACUGGAACAGAGACAGGGUCCAGACUCCUAGGGGAGGCAGCAGUAGAGAAUCAUCCGCGAUGGGCGAGAGGCUGACAGUGCAACGCCGCGUGAGUGAUGAAGGUCUUCUGAUCGUAAAGCUCUGUUAUUAGGGAAGAACAAAUGUGUAAGUAACUAUGAACAUCUUGACGGUACCUGGUGAGAAAGCCACGGCUAACUACGUG